rnacentral:rRNA from 1 species
UUGGAGGGCAAGUCUGGUGCCAGCAGCCGCGGUAAUUCCAGCUCCAGUAGCGUAUAUUAAAGUUGUUGCAGUUAAAAAGCUCGUAGUUGAAUUUCGGAGCUUGUCGGUUGGUCGGGCUUCACUGUCCGCACUGGCCUGACGGAUUCCUGCCUUCUGAAUAACCAGCAUGCUAUUAAGUUAGUGCGUUGGGGAAGCAGAGCUAUUACCUUGAAAAAAUUAGAGUGCUUAAAGCAGGCUUAUGCUUGAAUAGAUUAGCAUGGAAUAAUAAAAUAGGACGGCAUGGUUCUAUUUUGUUGGUUUCUAGGAUCACCGUAAUGAUUAAUAGGGAUAGUUGGGGGCAUUAGUAUUCAAUUGUCAGAGGUGAAAUUCUUGGAUUUAUUGAAGACUAACUUCUGCGAAAGCAUUUGCCAAGGAUGUUUUCAUUAAUCAAGAACGAAAGUUAGGGGAUCGAAGACGAUCAGAUACCGUCGUAGUCUUAACCAUAAACUAUGCCGACUAGGGAUCGGACGAUGUUAAUUUCUUAAUGACUCGUUCGGCGCCUUACGGGAAACCAAAGUGUUUGGGUUC